rnacentral:rRNA from 1 species
UUGAACGCUGGCGGCAGGCCUAACACAUGCAAGUCGAGCGGUAACACAGAGAGCUUGCUCUCGGGUGACGAGCGGCGGACGGGUGAGUAAUGUCUGGGAAACUGCCUGAUGGAGGGGGAUAACUACUGGAAACGGUAGCUAAUACCGCAUAACGUCGCAAGACCAAAGUGGGGGACCUUCGGGCCUCAUGCCAUCAGAUGUGCCCAGAUGGGAUUAGCUAGUAGGUGGGGUAACGGCUCACCUAGGCGACGAUCCCUAGCUGGUCUGAGAGGAUGACCAGCCACACUGGAACUGAGACACGGUCCAGACUCCUACGGGAGGCAGCAGUGGGGAAUAUUGCACAAUGGGCGCAAGCCUGAUGCAGCCAUGCCGCGUGUGUGAAGAAGGCCUUCGGGUUGUAAAGCACUUUCAGCGGGGAGGAAGGCGGUGAGGUUAAUAACCUCAUCGAUUGACGUUACCCGCAGAAGAAGCACCGGCUAACUCCGUGCCAGCAGCCGCGGUAAUACGGAGGGUGCAAGCGUUAAUCGGAAUUACUGGGCGUAAAGCGCACGCAGGCGGUCUGUCAAGUCGGAUGUGAAAUCCCCGGGCUCAACCUGGGAACUGCAUUCGAAACUGGCAGGCUAGAGUCUUGUAGAGGGGGGUAGAAUUACAGGUGUAGCGAUGAAAUGCGUAGAGAUCUGGAGGAAUACCGGUGGCGAAGGCGGCCCCCUGGACAAAGACUGACGCUCAGGUGCGAAAGCGUGGGUAGCAAACAGGAUUAGAUACCCUGGUAGUCCACGCCGUAAACGAUGUCGAUUUGGAGGUUGUGCCCUUGAGGCGUGGCUUCCGGAGCUAACGCGUUAAAUCGACCGCCUGGGGAGUACGGCCGCAAGGUUAAAACUCAAAUGAAUUGACGGGGGCCCGCACAAGCGGUGGAGCAUGUGGUUUAAUUCGAUGCAACGCGAAGAACCUUACCUGGUCUUGACAUCCACAGAACUUUCCAGAGAUGGAUUGGUGCCUUCGGGAACUGUGAGACAGGUGCUGCAUGGCUGUCGUCAGCUCGUGUUGUGAAAUGUUGGGUUAAGUCCCGCAACGAGCGCAACCCUUAUCCUUUGUUGCCAGCGGUUCGGCCGGGAACUCAAAGGAGACUGCCAGUGAUAAACUGGAGGAAGGUGGGGAUGACGUCAAGUCAUCAUGGCCCUUACGACCAGGGCUACACACGUGCUACAAUGGCAUAUACAAAGAGAAGCGACCUCGCGAGAGCAAGCGGACCUCAUAAAGUAUGUCGUAGUCCGGAUUGGAGUCUGCAACUCGACUCCAUGAAGUCGGAAUCGCUAGUAAUCGUAGAUCAGAAUGCUACGGUGAAUACGUUCCCGGGCCUUGUACACACCGCCCGUCACACCAUGGGAGUGGGUUGCAAAAGAAGUAGGUAGCUUAACCUUCGGGAGGGCGCUUACCACUUUGUGAUUCAUGACUGGGGUG